rnacentral:rRNA from 1 species
AACGAACGCUGGCGGCAUGCCUAACACAUGCAAGUCGAACGAGACCUUCGGGUCUAGUGGCGCACGGGUGCGUAACGCGUGGGAACCUUCCCUUAGGCUCGGAAUACCUCCCCGACAGGGGUGCUAAUACCGGAUAAUUUCUUCGGACCAAAGAUUCAUCGUCCUUGUAUGGGCGCGCGUUGUAUUAGCUUGUUGGUAGUGUAAAAGCCUACCACGGCGACGAUCCAUAGCUGGUCAGAGAGGAAGAGCAGCCACACUGGGAGUGGGACACGGCCCGGACUAUUAGGGGAGGGGGCAGUGGGGAAUAUAGGACAACGGGCGAAGGGCAGAACCAGCAAGGGCGGGAGAGUGAUGAAGUCCGGAGAGAUGUAAAGCUCGUUUACCCGGGAUGAUAAUGACAGUACCGAGAGAAUAAGCACCGGCUAACUCCGUG